rnacentral:rRNA from 1 species
CAGCAGCCGCGGUAAUACGAAGGGGGCUAGCGUUGCUCGGAAUGACUGGGCGUAAAGGGCGCGUAGGCGGCGGCCAAAGUCAGGCGUGAAAUUCCCGGGCUCAACCUGGGGGCUGCGUUUGAUACUUGGUUGCUUGAGUGGGGAAGAGGGUCGUGGAAUUCCCAGUGUAGAGGUGAAAUUCGUAGAUAUUGGGAAGAACACCGGUGGCGAAGGCGGCGACCUGGUCCUUUACUGACGCUGAGGCGCGAAAGCGCGGGGAGCAAACAGGAUUAGAUACCCCCGUAGUCCCUGUCUCUUAUAC